AACCCAUGUUGAGGAUAUUCCGUUUGCAGGAUCACCUUGAACCUAUCCCAUGUCUCAAAUAGAGACUCAAAUUCCUUUUGCACAAAUAAUGAUAUUCCAUUGCUAAGUUU